UGUGGCCAUCCCUGAAGACACUUCAUCUUGUCUGGUCUUGGAAGCUAAGCAGGGUCAGGCCUGGGUAGUGCAUGGAAGGGAGAACCUUGGGGUUGUCACGA
rnacentral:rRNA from 1 species